AGAUCCAGACUAACACGGCUACCCCUUUGAUAGUUAGUUAAAGGUGUAGUGAGGAUGAGGAAUUGAACGGCUCAGUGGACUUGUAAUGGACCCAUCAAACCUCUCUCACUGCUAGGCCCCCCUUAGUCUGAAUGAGCCCAACAUUCAUAGCGACUUUCACGCUUUGCUGUUUGGUGGUGGUUGAUGGCAGCCCACUUUCUAGUAGUAAUGGGCCAGCACUGAAGCUGCUUGAGUCCCUUGGUGUUGCGCCUCCCUCUGUCCUUUGACACUUUGUGUGGUUGCAGCUUCACAUGUCAUUUGUGUUUUCCCAUCAUUAGGGAAUCACAGGUUGGUUGCCUUGGCUGACAUUUUCUCUGAAGAUUCAUCCUCUUCCAUCUGCCAGUUGGACGUCAGCUCAAACUGCAUCAAGCCGGACGGGCUCCUGGAGUUUGCGAAGAAGCUGGAGAGCCACAUCCUGCAGAGAGGCGGGCAGAUCAAGUUUACCCACCUCCGCCUCUUUCAGAACUGGUUGGACCAAGAUGCUGCAACAGCUCAAGAGGCGCUUCGGCGGCUCAGAGCCGUGUGCAGCGUGGUCAGCAACACAUGGGACUCUUCGCAGGCCUUUGCUGACUACAUUAGUGUGAUGUAAAGAGCGCCUAGGAACUGCUGUAACAUCGAUAGCGAGAGCUUGAAAUAAAGUUGUACAGAACAGUG